GGCUCUGGAUGAACGCUAGCUACAGGCUUAACACAUGCAAGUCGAGGGGCAGCAUGGUCUUAGCUUGCUAAGGCCGAUGGCGACCGGCGCACGGGUGAGUAACACGUAUCCAACCUGCCGUCUACUCUUGGACAGCCUUCUGAAAGGAAGAUUAAUACAAGAUGGCAUCAUGAGUCCGCAUGUUCACAUGAUUAAAGGUAUUCCGGUAGACGAUGGGGAUGCGUUCCAUUAGAUAGUAGGCGGGGUAACGGCCCACCUAGUCUUCGAUGGAUAGGGGUUCUGAGAGGAAGGUCCCCCACAUUGGAACUGAGACACGGUCCAAACUCCUACGGGAGGCAGCAGUGAGGAAUAUUGGUCAAUGGGCGAGAGCCUGAACCAGCCAAGUAGCGUGAAGGAUGACUGCCCUAUGGGUUGUAAACUUCUUUUAUAAAGGAAUAAAGUCGGGUAUGGAUACCCGUUUGCAUGUACUUUAUGAAUAAGGAUCGGCUAACUCCGUGCCAGCAGCCGCGGUAAUACGGAGGAUCCGAGCGUUAUCCGGAUUUAUUGGGUUUAAAGGGAGCGUAGAUGGAUGUUUAAGUCAGUUGUGAAAGUUUGCGGCUCAACCGUAAAAUUGCAGUUGAUACUGGAUAUCUUGAGUGCAGUUGAGGCAGGCGGAAUUCGUGGUGUAGCGGUGAAAUGCUUAGAUAUCACGAAGAACUCCGAUUGCGAAGGCAGCCUGCUAAGCUGCAACUGACAUUGAGGCUCGAAAGUGUGGGUAUCAAACAGGAUUAGAUACCCUGGUAGUCCACACGGUAAACGAUGAAUACUCGCUGUUUGCGAUAUACAGCAAGCGGCCAAGCGAAAGCGUUAAGUAUUCCACCUGGGGAGUACGCCGGCAACGGUGAAACUCAAAGGAAUUGACGGGGGCCCGCACAAGCGGAGGAACAUGUGGUUUAAUUCGAUGAUACGCGAGGAACCUUACCCGGGCUUAAAUUGCAGAUGAAUUACGGUGAAAGCCGUAAGCCGCAAGGCAUCUGUGAAGGUGCUGCAUGGUUGUCGUCAGCUCGUGCCGUGAGGUGUCGGCUUAAGUGCCAUAACGAGCGCAACCCUUGUUGUCAGUUACUAACAGGUUCCGCUGAGGACUCUGACAAGACUGCCAUCGUAAGAUGUGAGGAAGGUGGGGAUGACGUCAAAUCAGCACGGCCCUUACGUCCGGGGCUACACACGUGUUACAAUGGGGGGUACAGAGGGCCGCUACCACGCGAGUGGAUGCCAAUCCCCAAAACCUCUCUCAGUUCGGACUGGAGUCUGCAACCCGACUCCACGAAGCUGGAUUCGCUAGUAAUCGCGCAUCAGCCACGGCGCGGUGAAUACGUUCCCGGGCCUUGUACACACCGCCCGUCAAGCCAUGGGAGCCGGGGGUACCUGAAGUGCGUAACCGCGAGGAGCGCCCUAGGGUAAAACUGGUGAC
rnacentral:rRNA from 1 species